rnacentral:lncRNA from 1 species
AUGGCAAGGACAUGGCGAACUCAAACUCUGACCAGAGCACCAAGCCGGAUUCUCAUGGUCCGCGGGAUCAAGAUUAACAUCUGGACCCAAGGCAUUUUCAUUCAUCAUUCUUCCAAGGCAAUUGUGGUGCAGGCUGGAAUUUCUGUGACCUUAGUAAUGUGCAGACCCUUUUUUGCCAAAGACCUUUGAAGACGGCACCGGGUCUGGU